UAAUACGGGGGGGACUAGCGUUGUUCGGAUUUACUGGGCGUAAAGGGUGCGUAGGCGGACUUUCAAGUCGGAUGUGAAAUCUGGUGGCUUAACUGCCAGUCUGCACUCGAUACUGUUAGUCUUGAGUACAGGAGGGGAGAGUGGAAUUCCAGGUGUAGCGGUGGAAUGCGUAGAUAUCUGGAAGAACACCCGUAGCGAAGGCGACUCUCUGGACUGAUACUGACGCUAAAGCACGAAGGCUAGGGUAGCAAACAGGAUUAGAUACCCUGGUAGUCCUAGCGGUAAACGAUGGGCACUAGGUGUCGGGGGUAUCGACCCCCUCGGUGCCGCAGUUAACGCAGUAAGUGCCCCGCCUGGGGAGUACGAUCGCAAGGUUG
rnacentral:rRNA from 1 species